UAGAACCAUGUCGAGGGCGGUGAGGCCACUAUUGUUAAUGGCAUUCACUUCCAACGAGCCUGAACUUACAAUUCCACUUCCAAGGGCCAUGCACAAGUAAGUUGGGUCAAUUGGUAUGUUGGCCAUCCCCAACAUUUUCUAGACUCAGGUUCGGAUCUCGUAAGCUGAGAACCCCUGAUACGAUGCAUAACCACUACUAACGUGGAAACAAAAGCAGCUCUUUGUUUAGAUGAAGUCCUGUAACCCCUGAUACCCGAGAACCAAAGACCUAAAAUUGACGGGGCAAGAUAUACAUGGACACUUCAGUUUUCAGAAUAAACAUCGAUACGUGGUCCUUGGUGAUCAGACUAUUAGAAAUGUGAAGACAGCUUGCUUUCCUGGUCUUGGUACUUCUCUGCAUCCCAUGUGUUCGCCUGGUCUGUUCAGAAAGUUUAAGCCUCAGCAUUGGUUUGCAGCGUCGAAAAGACCAGGCCCCCGCUGCAUCAUUGGGACUAGAUUCUACAGGGUACCCUUUUUUGUUUAAAAUGGAUUGAGCUUUACAUGUAUUUUUAGGUUGAUCUCUUUUUGUUGUAAUAUAGAUGGUGCACAUUUCUAUGUUACGGUGGGCCGACCUAACAACCAAAACAUAGGCAUUCCCCUUACUGUAGGGGCUGUUGCUAAUCUUUCUGGCUAUAGUAUGAACUCAAAAGGUUCCACUUGAAAA